rnacentral:rRNA from 1 species
GUACUAAGGUAGCAUAAUCAAUUGUCUUUUAAUUGAAGAAUGGAAUGAAAGAAUUAAUGAAAUAUAUACUGUCUCAAUUAUAAAAAUUAAUUUAAAUUUUUAGUUAAAAUGCUAAAUUUAAAUUAUGGGACGAUAAGACCCUAUAGAAUUUUAUAUUAAAUUAUUUAUAAUAAUUAAUUAUUAAAUUGUUAUAAAUAAUUUAAUAUUUAAUUGGGAGGAUUUAUAAAUUUAAUAAACUUUAUAUUAAUAAUUAAACUUUGAUUUAAGAAAAUUUAAUUUGAUAUAGUAGUAUUAAUUAAGAAAAAAAAUUACCUUAGGGAUAACAGCGUAAUAUCUUUUUAAAGUACAAAUUAAUAA